UCGUUGUUGAAAUGGCUUGUGGCUUGAGGUCGGCAUGGCAUCAGAGUGCUACUUCGAUUUGAAUCCAAGAUUGAUUAAAUAUAUAAGAGGUCAUAAUCCUUAACAAGAUGUCAUCCAAUGUCUGGAUCGAUUUUUAAUGAGUUGGAGUUGGUAUUUUCCGGAUUACCAUCUAUUCGAUGAUGGGGUUGGUUGUCAUCGUGGGC
rnacentral:lncRNA from 1 species